ACGAACGCUGGCGGCAUGCCUAACACCUGCAAGUCGAACGAGACCUUCGGGUCUAGUGGCGCCCGGGUGCGUAACGCGUGGGAACCUGCCCUUAGGUUCGGAAUAACUCCCCGAAAGGGGUGCUAAUACCGGAUAAUGUCUUCGGACCAAAGAUUUAUCGCCUUUGGAUGGGCCCGCGUUGGAUUAGCUAGUUGGUAGGGUAAAAGCCUACCAAGGCGACGAUCCAUAGCUAGUCUGAGAGGAUGAUCAGCCACACUGGGACUGAGACACGGCCCAGACUCCUACGGGAGGCAGCAGUGGGGAAUAUUGGACAAUGGGCGAAAGCCUGAUCCAGCAAUGCCGCGUGAGUGAUGAAGGCCUUAGGGUUGUAAAGCUCUUUUACCCGGGAUGAUAAUGACAGUACCGGGAGAAUAAGCGCCGGCUAACUCCGUG
rnacentral:rRNA from 1 species